AGAGUUUGAUCCUGGCUCAGAACGAACGCUGGCGGCAGGCCUAACACAUGCAAGUCGAACGAUAAGCCACCUUCGGGUGGUGGACAGUGGCAGACGGGUGAGUAACGCGUGGGAACGUGCCUUUCGGUUCGGAAUAACCCAGGGAAACUUGGGCUAAUACCGGAUACGCCCUUCGGGGGAAAGAUUCAUUGCCGAAAGAUCGGCCCGCGUCGGAUUAGCUAGUUGGUGGGGUAAUGGCUCACCAAGGCGACGAUCCGUAGCUGGUCUGAGAGGAUGACCAGCCACACUGGGACUGAGACACGGCCCAGACUCCUACGGGAGGCAGCAGUGGGGAAUAUUGGACAAUGGGCGCAAGCCUGAUCCAGCCAUGCCGCGUGGGUGAAGAAGGCCUUAGGGUUGUAAACCCCUUUCAGCGGGGAAGAUAAUGACGGUACCCGCAGAAGAGCC
rnacentral:rRNA from 1 species